rnacentral:tRNA from 1 species
GGGCGGUUAGCUCAGUGGUAGAGCAUUUUCUUGACGUGAAAAGGGUCAUAGGUUCGAAUCCUAUACCGCCCA